UUCUUGAAACUCAUGGCACUAAUACCUUCGUUAACAAGUAGGAUAUCUACGCCAAAGAUUUCUUUGAUGAAUUGAUCGAAGAGAUCACAAAUAAAAUUUUUGACGAUCGACUGAAGAAAACCUCUGCUGUAAAAUCUAAAAAGACAGCCUAAGGUACUCUUUAUUUCUAUUGUCUUGCUAGUAUACAUAUUUAAACAAACGUUUUUUAAUUAACAUUUGAUCAGUUUUUUCAGCUGGUCGCUCAAUAAAACAGGCCGAAGUGGUU
rnacentral:lncRNA from 1 species